UUUGCGUUUAUUAGAUUGUUGGCCUCAGCCUUGAGAUUUCCGAUCAGUGCCUACAGUUGUGCGGUUAGCAGCUGUCUUUGUGAAGCUGCCUUGAAACUACCCUGCCCUCCACCAAGAAGGCUACGAAGGGCCUCACGCAGCCACCUGAUGGCAGUGUUAGGAACAAGACCUUAACUGGUUUCCUGAGGGUAAAGGUUUUGUGUUUCCUUAUAGAACCCUGGAGACCUGCAGGCAGGGCCAGUUAAUUAAAAAAAUACCCACGUGGCAUGCUGAAUGCUAAGCCUUGCUUUGCAUCUGGAUUGGUCUAGCUAAUGGAGCUAAAUCUCACCACCUCUGACCCUACCUUGCAGUGCUUCUUGUCAGGCGAGGCUUGGCCUUCUCCCCUGACCUGUACGCAGGGCUCUCGCUGGCCUAACCUCUUAGCUGUUGUUUAUUACGUGUCCCUGUUUGAGUAUUUCUGUUAUAUAUGCCUCAUCAUGCAGGGUUGCAUUUGCAACCCUAACAUUACAAUUGUCAUUUCUUAAAUAACAAAUACAAGUUUUCUUUCUCUGUGGACUUAAUAUAUUUCUGCGACAUCUGUAAAGAUUUUCUGCUUUCCCCUGUGAGUCUAGAAUAAUACUGUAGUAUAUAUAGGUAGGCUCAGGAUGGGAAUCAUCAGAAGUCCCUACUCAAAUUAGAAGCUCUCUCCUGUUUGUUGUUGUUUUAGGGGAACUUCUAGUUUCUUUCAAAGGAAUGCCAUCUCCUCACAUGACUCCUCUUAACAAUCUCCCCGAGACUUUCUAUAGCGAAAGAAAUUCCUGGGCGGUAUUUUUUCCCCCUCUGGCUGGUGUAAAUCAGCAUAGAUCCAGGUUCAACAUUGGAGUAGUUCUGCUUUACCCGCCUGGAGAUGCUGACAGGGAAUGCUCUGCUGUUGUGGGGAAGUGCUGCGUUUCAACGGGAAGCCGCUUUGAAAGCCAUUGAGGCUGCCCUCAACAUCUCCCUCUUGUGCCCUUCUCCAUGAGCUUAUCUGGAAACUCAAGUUUCUGUGAAGGAACAAAAAGCUCAACAAGAAGUUUUGACCACUCUGGUUUGAGAAGGCAAGAAUUUACUUUUCCAGAUAAAGAACAGUAAAGGUAAGCAUCCAUUUUCCUUGGAACAGGCUCUGAAAACUUCCUCAGAAUGACCAGAUCCAAACUGGUAGGUCUGCAGUCAGAACAACAGAAGCUCUCCUGUUAUUAGUAGUCUGAUAGAGCAACGUUUGCUCCCGCUGUUGUCUGUAGCAAGCACUGGGUAGACCCUUUGUAUUGGCCUCAUGUGGAGAUUUAAAAAAAUUCCAUGAAAUGAAGAUCUUUCCUGAAAUGACUUCCUCAAAUUCUCAGAAAAGCUUUGUGUGUGCCUGACAAAGCUCUACUCUAGUGUAUAAAAGGCAGUGGGAUUGGCAGCUGUGUAUUUUCAUUGGCCCCUUUAAGAAAAACACUCAAUGCAGGUUGAGUGAGGAGGAUCUGAAUGUCUUUAUUCUUGAAAACAUGGCAGCACUCCCCACCUGGUUUUGCUUGAAUGUUAAGCUGCCAAGAUAGAUAUGCUGUCUGCAGCUUAUCUGCUCUGCAAUCCGGCUGCGAUCUCUAACGGCAUCAUGACACUGGACAGUUCCCUAAUGAUAAGUUGGCGAAUAAUUCCUCUUGGCGACAUCUGCUCUUCCACGUUUGGCAGUUUUGUUUUGUUUAGGUCUUUGGAUGCUGUUUGCUUGCAUCGACAGGACUGUGGAUAACCACCUCUCCUCUGAGCUGUGAGGUAGUGACAGGAGACUUUGGAUGGAAAUCAUUUACAUAUUUUUGGUCUCUUGUCAUCCCUUAUGGAUAAGUCAGGGUUUCAUAUUACUGCAGAGUGGAGGCAGGGAUAAGAGUAUGAGACUGUCAGAGCAUCUGCAAAAUGGGCACUUUAUGUUUUUAAAAAACAUGCAUUGUUGUGGAACAGAAGCGUAAUAUAUGCCAUUAACAUUAGUGUCAUUGAGCAGCAUCUAAAUUGCAGAUUGGUAGGAAAGAAUUGAUACAAAAAUGUAAACAAGAGAAAAUGAAAACUGUAAUAAACUCUCUGCAUAAGAAGGGUAAUCGUAAUCU
ensembl:lncRNA